rnacentral:rRNA from 1 species
CCUACGGGAGGCAGCAGUGGGGGAUAUUGCACAAUGGGGGAAACCCUGAUGCAGCGACGCCGCGUGAGUGAAGAAGUAUUUCGGUAUGUAAAGCUCUAUCAGCAGGGAAGAAAAUGACAGUACCUGACCAAGAAGCCCCGGCUAACUACGUGCCAGCAGCCGCGGUAAUACGUAGGGGGCAAGCGUUAUCCGGAUUUACUGGGUGUAAAGGGAGCGUAGACGGUUAUGUAAGUCUGGAGUGAAAGCCCGGGGCCCAACCCCGGGACUGCUUUGGAAACUGUGUAACUGGAGUACAGGCGGGGCGGGCGGAAGUCCUGGUGUAGGGUGGAAAGGGGUAGAAAUAAGGAGGAACACCGGGGGCGAAGGCGGCCUGGGGGACUAAAACGGACGUUGGGGCUCGAAAGCGGGGGGAGCAAACAGGAUUAGAUACCUUAGUAGC